rnacentral:rRNA from 1 species
AAAGGCGCUUUCGGGUGUCGCUGAUGGAUGGACCCGCGGUGCAUUAGCUAGUUGGUGAGGUAACGGCUCACCAAGGCCACGAUGCAUAGCCGACCUGAGAGGGUGAUCGGCCACAUUGGGACUGAGACACGGCCCAAACUCCUACGGGAGGCAGCAGUAGGGAAUCUUCGGCAAUGGACGAAAGUCUGACCGAGCAACGCCGCGUGAGUGAAGAAGGUUUUCGGAUCGUAAAACUCUGUUGUUAGAGAAGAACAAGGAUGAGAGUAACUGUUCAUCCCUUGACGGUAUCUAACCAGAAAGCCACGGCUAACUACGUGCCAGCAGCCGCGGUAAUACGUAGGUGGCAAGCGUUGUCCGGAUUUAUUGGGCGUAAAGCGAGCGCAGGCGGUUUCUUAAGUCUGAUGUGAAAGCCCCCGGCUCAACCGGGGAGGGUCAUUGGAAACUGGGAGACUUGAGUGCAGAAGAGGAGAGUGGAAUUCCAUGUGUAGCGGUGAAAUGCGUAGAUAUAUGGAGGAACACCAGUGGCGAAGGCGGCUCUCUGGUCUGUAACUGACGCUGAGGCUCGAAAGCGUGGGGAGCAAACAGGAUUAGAUACCCUGGUAGUCCACGCCGUAAACGAUGAGUGCUAAGUGUUGGAGGGUUUCCGCCCUUCAGUGCUGCAGCUAACGCAUUAAGCACUCCGCCUGGGGAGUACGACCGCAAGGUUGAAACUCAAAGGAAUUGACGGGGGCCCGCACAAGCGGUGGAGCAUGUGGUUUAAUUCGAAGCAACGCGAAGAACCUUACCAGGUCUUGACAUCCUUUGACCACUCUAGAGAUAGAGCUUCCCCUUCGGGGGCAAAGUGACAGGUGGUGCAUGGUUGUCGUCAGCUCGUGUCGUGAGAUGUUGGGUUAAGUCCCGCAACGAGCGCAACCCUUAUUGUUAGUUGCCAUCAUUCAGUUGGGCACUCUAGCAAGACUGCCGGUGACAAA